rnacentral:rRNA from 1 species
UACGAAGGGGGGCUAGCGUUGCUCGGAAUCACUGGGCGUAAAGCGUGCGCAGGCGGUCUUUUAAGUCAGAUGUGAAAUCCCCGGGCUUAACCUGGGAACUGCGUUUGAAACUGGAAGGCUUGAGUGUGGCAGAGGGGGGUGGAAUUCCACGUGUAGCAGGUGAAAUGCGUAGAGAUGUGGAGGAACACCGAUGGCGAAGGCAGCCCCCUGGGCUAACACUGACGCCUCAUGCACGAAAGCGUGGGGAUCAAACAGG